AGAUGUUUGAGUCUUAGUGCCAUUUUGCUUGGAGCCAGAUGGAACCUAUCCAAGGUUUUCUGUGCAUUGAUGGCUACAGUCCUAUGAGCUUCUCCUAUCAUGGAUUUCAGGUUUACUGUUUCUACCAGUGGCAGACUGAAGGCUCAGGGAGAGGAGAUUUUUAUGGAAUCAGAAUGUGAUUUUAUGGAAUCAGAAUGUCUUAUAGGAA